AAUACUAUAAAAUAUCAUUAACAAUAAUAUAGUAAAAAGGAACAUAAUAAAUUAGUAAAACGUAAAAAGUGGUUAAUAACAAUGUAUAAUAUAUGAUAAAAAGCAGAAUAAUAAAAUAAUGAUUAUCCAAGAACAUUUAAGACGGGAGACGGACGCUGCCAACGUCUAGCUAUGCAUGUACUCAUUUAUGUAUGUAACUAAAGGAUGUCAAUCAGAAAUCUAGCGUAUUAUAAAGAACUUUCCCCGAUGACUUGCAAAACUCGGAAUACGAAAAUAAAUUCUUUAUACAGGCGGCGAUAACAUUCAAAUAAUGUCAUAUUAUUUAAAUCAUGUUUGUUUUUUUGGACUGUAACAUCUGUAUAAUGUCAAAGGUUGCAAAUGAAUCGACCAAUUUGUUUACCUUCACUGUUAUAAAGCGGUAGAAUGUUUAGUUCAAGUAAUUAUAUGCCAUAUUAGGUAUCUCUAAUGUCCAAUAUUCUAAUGUAUAUAAGUAUAUAAAAGCAUAAAUGCAGUCAAUUAAAUCAGAGAGCAGGGCGAUAACCGAACUAUAAAUAGAUAAACGUACUCGAGUUAGAUAUGAAUGCGUGUUUUAAUGAUAAGAGGAAAGCAAAUAGGCAACGGUUUGACGGGGACAGUCCGAUUGGCUCGGCGCGAGCCGCGAGCCGCGAGCCGCGACCCCUGGAGCAGCACGUAGCACGGACUCGCUUACGUAAACAUAACUGAAUACAAUAUAUACAAUUAAACCACAAUAAACCGCUAGUGAAGCCGCUGCACCGCCAGCUAAACUGUUAUGAUUAAUAUUAACUCUCUACGUAUCCACAUCACUUCAAUCCAGUAGUGUGGCGCAAUGACUAAGCCCUGCGAGGCGGCGCCACGUCGCCGGCUGCCGUCGGCUACGCUCCGCCGCUAAGCUGUUCCCAUCUUUAAUAAUUUCCAAACAAUACAUACAAUAUUAUAUAUAAAUUUAUAUAAUAUAUAAAUCGUAUGUCAUUACAUAUUUAUUGAGCAAAUAACAAGUGAAUUCUGAGCGGAGAGAUCAGCGCGUCCGACUCGCAGCCCGCGUACCACACGAUGACAAUAAUAACAGGUAAUUAAUUUUAAUAAUUAUAAAUCGGAUACUAAUAAUAAUAAACUAACAUAAUGUCAAAAUAUGCAUAAGUACGUACAAUACAAACUAGGCAUUGGCAAGUGUUGGCCGGGCGGCCGUCGCGGCACGCACACACACGCACCACACCAUCGUAUUACAGUAUAUCACAAUUACAUGCGCCGUCUACGGCGUAAAUCUUAUAAAAAGUAGAAAAAAAAAA
rnacentral:lncRNA from 1 species